GGGGGCAACUUUUUCUUUUAACAUUAUCAAUACUGCAAUAAUCUAAAACAAAAGUAGAGAUCUUUUGAAAGUAAACAAACAUUGCAAAGUCAAAAGAAAAGAAACAGAACCCUUUAAAGAUGAAGCAAAACUAAUAGAGACUAGUAAGUAAAUGCCAUCCCAAAAGCCGGGCACAGCGGGACGAGUGUAUGCCUAUAAAGCUAAUUAAACACAAAAAGAAGAAACAAGGACCCCUUUUGAAGCUUCAGGUCUACCUAGUCAUAAAAUGCCUCUUGGAGGCAACCUAUGAUUCAGACACUACUUUUGAAUGGCCUUGAAUUAAUCGAUAGGUUUUUGGUGAGAGAAACCAAAGGUGCAGUUGGAUCAGUAGAGUUGGUCUUCAGCUCCUCCUCGAGUACCUUGUCUCCUCCUUUGAAUUGCUUAAGAGAAUCAGCUUUCUCGUAUGCAUCAGCUUGAAUAACUGGUUUUGAACUCCUUUUAGCCUUGAGCACUUUCUCACGCUUCUCAUAGAAAUUGAAAUCAUCCAAUAUAGAUGUCUUCUCUGAGUAAUUCUUAAGUAUGUUAAGCAUUUCCAAACCUUCCUUCAAUCCAAUCUCCUGUGUAUCUCUGCUAUAGGUUACAGGUCUAUUAUCAUUGUUUUCAAGGAUGAUGUGCCUGAACUGUGUAUUUGGUACAUCUUUAACUAUGUGCCACUUCAGUGGGAAGAACCCACUCCACUUAUCAAGCUGCCAAAAGUCCAUGUUUCUGUUGAAGUCAACCUGCCCAACCAUCUCAGCUACACCUAAAAACUGUCCACUUCCAUUUACAGAAAAGAAGAGGAACACUGGACAGCUUGAACCAGUUCCACUUGCUUUAGCCUCAGAUUCAACAAAGGCAGUGUCCAAUUUCUUGUUUCCAUUUGGAGUACUUGACCACACAUCAUAUUUGACACACUUGUGGAUAUCAUCUUCACUGUAUGACUUGAUAAUGUAAAAUUUUGCAUUGUCAUACUGAGUCUUAAAAUCCUCCUUGUUAUACUUCUCCCUCUGAACAGCUGGCACAAGCUGAUCCUCCUCAGCAGAUGGUUUUGAAGGGACACUUCUACCGUUGGCACGGGGACCACGAGGUAACUCAUUAGUUGCCUCAAACACACCAUUUCUGGUGAAAUUUCCCCGUGGUUUAGCUCUGUAGUUUCCAUUCCACAUUCUACUGUUUGUUUGACAGUUGAUGGGAUCAUAAGGCAUGAAAAAACCUUGAUUCUGACUCGUGUAUGAUGGGUAGUCCCCAACCAGAUGAAACCCCUUCAUCAGGCCUCCAGACUGGACAUCGGACUGAAACUUGUUCACUGGAUUAAAAGGCUGAGCUUGAUGGAAAGACUUUGGAGGAUUUGACAUGGCAGUAGCUGGUCGACUCUUUGGGUUAAAGAGUACGGUCGAGUUUUUGCUUGAGAAAGAACUAUUUGUUUUUGUGGAAUUAAAACCAUUCGACUUGACUGAACCAUUUCGUCCAAAAGUUGAUUUAACGUUCCCGGAUUUUGGAGCAGCACUAUUGGUGAUAUCAGCACAGUAUGGCGAGCCCCAUGUAUAACAUGGCAUGGAAUCUGAACCAUAUGAGACAGGUUGCUGGAGAUAUCCGGACGAAGGAUAGGGCUGCUUCCCAUCGCCUCCCACAAAUCCAGCACUGUAAGGAUUAUAGCCAGGCAUAUAGUAGAGAAGGGAACCAUUGUCUGAUUGAACACCCGCAUUAAAGUAAGCCUGCUCAUCUAACUGAUUAUAAGUCCCAUUAUAUCCUGGAUAGUAGUAAUCGCAAUAGCUAGUAGGUGGAUAAUAAGCACCUUGCUCUGCAGCAGGUGGUUGAUCAUUUUCACACUUGAUGCUGGUCACAGCUCCCAAAGAAGCCACCGAGUCAGCAGCUUUUCCAUCUUUUUUUGAAACCAAAUCCUUCUCAAUCAGUUUGUUAGAGGGAUCAGAUUUCAGUCCCGGAGCAACAGCUUCAGGUUUUUCUAUAAUCUUCUCACCAGCCAUUAUCAAGCUUCAAAAGCCAAUUCCUGACCUUAUAUAAGCAAAUAAACAAAACCACCGAUCCAGAUAACCGGAAAACCGCUAUGAAACAGAGAAGCGGUUUCCCUGUAGCGAAGGUUUUUG
rnacentral:misc_RNA from 1 species